AAGCAGAAAGUAGAUCCUACCAUUUAUUAGCCCCUAUUUUAGGCUUCUCUCCCACUAUCCCAGUUUUCCUCCCGGUGGACAAUUGCCUGGUGUCCCUAGAUGCGGGUCACCAGGGAGCACAAAUGGGAUGGUGGGAGAGAAGCCUAAAAUAGGGGCUAAUAAAUAGUAGGAUCUACUUCUGUA